GUCUCAUCUUGACAGAGUCUAGAUGGGCGGAUGAACGUCUGCCAGAGUUCGGACUGAGAAAUGACAAUGAAAAUGAUGAAAUCUGCGAGCCUACAUCUAAAAUUUCCGGGAAUCAGAGGGAGAAGAUUCGUCUUGUUUGAUAUUUUCCCGGCAAAUGGAGUAUUCUAGCCGGAUCUGUAGGAAUUCUUAAAAAUGCACCGAUCAUGCUGAUGCUGGAAUGAAAAAUAACUGCAAGCACGCCAAAUGUAAUACUAGUGAAAAAGAUUCGCACCAAAGCUGUUACCUUUUCUGAUGACGAAGAGUUUGGAGAACCUCAUCAUGCACACCGAAGUGGUUACGAGCGCAUAAAAACAAACGAUGCGCAAAAGUCUCUAUUCUUUUCAGAUGAAGAUGAAUUGCACUUGACCCUCGUCUAUGUACCAUCUGUAAAGAAUGGACCUCGAUUGCGAUAUAACGAGUAGGAAAGAUCUGUUCGUUCCCGUCACGGUAAAACGGUUUCUACGAAACCUCUAGAUUUGUCGCCCCUUCUGCGAUUGAACAUAAAAUUCGACGCCAUAGUGCUGCAAAGGGUGUGUUCGAUGCUCACGCGAAUUGAGCUUAACCUGUACUGCAGCUGUUAAUAUUGUCGAAUCGCAACCGAGUGUCAUGCCUUCAAAGCUACAUUUUUGUCCUCGUGAACAACAUUUACUUAUCGACUUAUGACCGAAACGUGGUGCUCACCUUCCAUGUAUAAUUCCGUCGAUGUUCGUUCAACCUUUUGGAAGAGUAGAAAAAUAAUUCGUCGAGCAAUAUGAAGCGGUCGUACUGCAGGAAGGAGAGUCUAAUUAGUACUGCACAAUACGCCAGUGUCCCAAAAACGAAUGUUAUACGACUACCGUCAGAGCUGCGCAAAGUUGUCUAGAAUAACGCGGUUAUCAUUGACAGUAAGUUGAGAAUCGAGAAGAUAUGUGUCGGAGUUCUAAUAUUUUUUUCUCUCGAUUUUCCAGUGCCGCACAGUGGGACGGAAUCAAAAAAGCCGGACAUUUAAAUUUUUGCGACGAAACUAUUGGUUAUGGCACUUUGAUGUCUUCGGAAAGGUUUCUUUAUUUUUUAAGUAGUUGAAUAUAAUGUUAUAUUAAACUGUGUAUAUACCCCCUUAAAUAAAAAUUUCCCAACAUUAUAUUAAACUACUUAAAAAAUAAAGAAAUCUUUCCGAAGACAUUAAAGUGCCUUAACCAAUAAUUUCGUCCCAAAUAUCAAUGUCCGGCUUUUUUUGAUUCCGUCCCACUGUGUGCCGUAGUGCAAUGAUUGCUGACAGUAAGCCAGAAAGCCAUGGAAAGCCUACGCCUGUUUUGGUCGCUGCAUUGGAUGAUAGGGUCUGCGUUCGAACUGUACUCUAAUGAGGUUUAUGAAAAUAUAAGUUUCCGUCUAGCAAUCCGAAUUACGGGGAACGCUCAAGAGGGAACUAGAAAGCUGCUAAAGAAGUAUUAAGAAUUAAUCAAUUUCGAAUGUGAAUGUCAGUGAUAGGUUGGACUCCAAUGAGGAAGAUAUUGGUGCUGAAGUGCUUCAUGAUUUUACCACCUUUAACAUGUAACACACUGAGCUGUAGGAAAAAGCCUCACGAGAGGGAAAAAGAAACUAGUUAUAACAAAAAUUAA